rnacentral:rRNA from 1 species
CCUACGGGAGGCAGCAGCGAGGAAUUUUGCGCAAUGGGCGAAAGCCUGACGCAGCAACGCCGCGUGGGGGAUGAAGGCCUUCGGGUUGUAAACCCCUUUUCUUGGGGACGAUGAUGACGGUACCCAAGGAAUAAGCCUCGGCGAACUACGUGCCAGCAGCCGCGGUAAUACGUAGGAGGCGAGUGUUGUCCGGAUUUACUGGGCGUAAAGAGCGCGUAGGCGGCCGGCUAAGUCUGGGGUGAAAUCUCCCGGAUUAACUGGGAGGGGGCGCCGGAUACUGGUGGGCUGGAGGGCAUCAGAGGGAAGUGGAAUCCCCGGUGGAGGGGUGAAAUGCGUAGAUAUCGGGAGGAACACCGGUGGCGAAAGCGGCUUCCGGGGGUGCCCCUGACACUGAGGCGCGAAAGCGUGGGGAGCGAACGGGAUUAGAUACCCCGGUAGU